CCUACGGGGUGCAGCAGUGGGGAAUAUUGCACAAUGGCGGAAACCCUGAUGCAGCGACGCCGCGUGAAGGAAGAAGUAUUUCGGUAUGUAAACUUCUAUCAGCAGGGAAGAAAAUGACGGUACCUGACUAAGAAGCCCCGGCUAACUACGUGCCAGCAGCCGCGGUAAUACGUAGGGGGCAAGCGUUAUCCGGAUUUACUGGGUGUAAAGGGAGCGUAGGCGGUUUAGUAAGUCAGAAGUGAAAGCCCGGGGCUCAACUCCGGGACUGCUUUUGAAACUGUUGAACUAGAGUGCAGGAGAGGUAAGUGGAAUUCCUAGUGUAGCGGUGAAAUGCGUAGAUAUUAGGAGGAAAACCAGUGGCGAAGGCGGCUUACUGGACUGUAAAUGACGCUGAGGCUCGAAAGCGUGGGGAGCAAACAGGAUUAGAUACCCGAGUAGUC
rnacentral:rRNA from 1 species